GCUGUAGCUUAGUGGUAGAACAUUUGAUUGCAUGCAGAAGAUCCCAGGUUCAAUCCCUGGCAUCUCCA